rnacentral:rRNA from 1 species
UACAGAGGGGGCAAGCGUUAUUCGGAAUUAUUGGGCGUAAAGGGCGCGUAGGCGGCCUGGCAAGUGGAAGGUGAAAUCCCUCGGCUUAACCGAGGAACUGCCUUCCAAACUGCUUGGCUUGAGUCCGGGAGAGGUGAGUGGAAUUCCCAGUGUAGCGGUGAAAUGCGUAGAUAUGUGGAGGAACACCAGUGGCGAAGGCGACUCUUUGGUCUGUAACUGACGCUGAGGCGCGAAAGCGUGGGGAGCAAACAGG